rnacentral:rRNA from 1 species
CCGAACCGACCCCCUUUGAAAAGGUAGGGGAUGACUUGUGGAUCGGAGUGAAAGGCUAAUCAAGCUCGGAGAUAGCUGGUUCUCCUCGAAAGCUAUUUAGGUAGCGCCUCAUGUAUCACUCUGGGGGGUAGAGCACUGUUUCGGCUAGGGGGUCAUCCCGACUUACCAAACCGAUGCAAACUCCGAAUACCGAUGAGUGAUAUCCGGGAGACAGACGGCGGGUGCUAACGUCCGUCGUCAAGAGGGAAACAACCCAGACCGCCAGCUAAGGUCCCAAAGUCAUGGUUAAGUGGGAAACGAUGUGGGAAGGCACAGACAGCCAGGAUGUUGGCUUAGAAGCAGCCAUCAUUUAAAGAAAGCGUAACAGCUCACUGGUCUA